AGUGGAUGGGGAGCAACCUAGUUGUGCGUGUGUAAAGGUAGUGCCAAGAAAAGCGAUGAUCAUGUUGAAAAUCAAUUCCCGGUACCCGAAACCGACACAGGUGGGCAAGUAGAGAAUGCUAAGGGGCGCGAGGUAACUCUCUCCAAGGAACUCGGCAAAAUGACCCCGUAACUUAGGGAGAAGGGGUGCCACCGAGAGGUGGUCGCAGUGAAGAGGCCCAGGCGACUGUUUAGCAAAAACAUAGGUCUCUGCAAACUCGAAAGAGGAGGUAUAGGGGCUGACGCCUGCCCAGUGCCGGAAGGUUAAAGAAGUUGGUCAGUUUUAGGAUGAAGCUAGCGACUGAAGCCCCGGUGAACGGCGGCCGUAACUAUAACGGUCCUAAGGUAGCGAAAUUCCUUGUCGGGUAAGUUCCGACCCGCACGAAAGGCGUAACGAUCUGGGCGCUGUCUCGGAGAGAGGCUCGGCGAAAUAGGAUUGUCUGUGAAGAUACGGACUACCUGCAUUUGGACAGAAAGACCCUAUGAAGCUUUACUAUAGCUUGGAAUUGUGUUCGGGCUUCCUGUGCGCAGGAUAGGUGGGAGGCGUAGAAGGUAUUCUUGUGGGGAUACUGGAGCCAACGGUGAGAUACCACUCUCAGGAGGCUAGAAUUCUAACUUAAUUAAGGACAGUUUCAGGUGGGUAGUUUGACUGGGGCGGUCGCCUCCAAAAAGGUAACGGAGGCGUACAAAGGUUCCCUCAGACUGGUUGGAAAUCAGUCGAAGAGUGCAAAGGCAGAAGGGAGCUUGACUGCGAGAAGUACAGUUCGAGCAGGGUGGAAACACGGUCUUAGUGAUCCGACGGUGCUGUGUGGAAGGGCCGUCGCUCAACGGAUAAAAGUUACUCUAGGAUAACAGGCUGAUCUCCCCCAAGAGUUCACAUCGACGGGGAGGUUUGGCACCUCGAUGUCGGCUCAUCGCAACCUGGGGCGGAAGUACGUCCCAAGGGUUGGGCUGUUCGCCCAUUAAAGCGGUACGUGAGCUGGGUUCAGAACGUCGUGAGACAGUUCGGUCCAUAUCCGAUGUAGGCGUGAGAAUAUUGAGAGGAGCCUUCCUUAGUACGAGAGGACCGGGAAGGACGCACCGCUGGUGUACCUGUUAUGAUGCCAAUUGUAAACGCAGGGUAGCCAAGUGCGGAGAGGAUAACCGCUGAAAGCAUCUAAGUGGGAAGCCCACCUCAAGAUGAGUAUUCUGGUGUAAGGUCACGGGAAGACGACCCGUAAAUAGGCACGAGGUGGAAGUGCAGAGAUGUAUGAAGCCGAAGUGUACUAAUAGACCGUCGGCUUGACC
rnacentral:rRNA from 1 species